UACGGGGGGGGGCAAGCGUUGUUCGGACUUACUGGGCGGAAAGGGCUCGUAGGUGGCCAACUAAGUCGGACGUGAAAUCCCUCAGCUUAACUGGGGAACUGCGUCCGAUACUGGAUGGCUUGAGUUUGGGAGAGGGAUGCGGAAUUCCAGGUGUAGCGGUGAAAUGCGUAGAUAUCUGGAGGAACACCGGUGGCGAAGGCGGCAUCCUGGACCAACACUGACACUGAGGAGCGAAAGCCAGGGGAGCAAACGGG
rnacentral:rRNA from 1 species